UACGUAGGUGACGAGCGUUAUCCGGAUUUACUGGGCGUAAAGCGCUUGUAGGUGGUCUUGUAAGUUGGGCGUGAAAACACCGGGCUUAACUCGGUGACGCCGUCCAAUACUGCGAGGCUGGAGGAUGUCAGAGGAAGGUGGAAUUCCUGGUGUAGUGGUGAAAUGCGUAGAUAUCAGGAGGAACACCCGUGGCGAAGGCGGCCUUCUGGGGCAUUCCUGACACUGAGAAGCGAAAGCUAGGGGAGCAAACAGG
rnacentral:rRNA from 1 species